rnacentral:rRNA from 1 species
UACGUAGGGGGCAAGCGUUGUCCGGAAUUACUGGGCGUAAAGCGAGUGUAGGCGGUUUGGUAAGUCGGAUGUGAAAGCCCCGGGCUCAACCCGGGAAGUGCACUCGAUACUGCCAAGCUAGAGUAUCGGAGAGGUUGGUGGAAUUCUCGGUGUAGAGGUGAAAUUCGUAGAUAUCGAGAGGAACACCGGUGGCGAAGGCGGCCAACUGGACGAAUACUGACGCUGAGACUCGAAAGCGUGGGGAGCAAACAGG